UUGGAGGGCAAGUCUGGUGCCAGCAGCCGCGGUAAUUCCAGCUCCAAUAGCGUAUAUUAAAGUUGUUGCAGUUAAAAAGCUCGUAGUUGAAUUUCGGAAUCCAUCCAUCGGUCGGGCCUCACGGUCCGCACUGGUGUGAUGGAUUUCUACCUUCUGAAUAACCAGCAUGUCAUUAAUUUGGUGCGUUGGGGAAGCAGGACUGUUACCUUGAAAAAAUUAGAGUGCUUAAAGCAGGCUAGUGCCUGAAUACAUUAGCAUGGAAUAAUGAAAUAGGACGGCAUGGUUCUAUUUUGUUGGUUUCUAGGAUCACCGUAAUGAUUAAUAGGGAUAGUUGGGGGCAUUAGUACUCAAUUGUCAGAGGUGAAAUUCUUGGAUUUAUUGAAGACUAACUUCUGCGAAAGCAUUUGCCAAGGAUGUUUUCAUUAAUCAAGAACGAAAGUUAGGGGAUCGAAGACGAUCAGAUACCGUCGUAGUCUUAACCAUAAACUAUGCCGACUAGGGAUCGGACGAUGUUAAUUUUUUAAUGACUCGUUCGGCGCCUUACGGGAAAC
rnacentral:rRNA from 1 species